GCUGACUUGCUCAAGAUCUCACACAGGUAGUACGGGGUAGAGCUGGGACUAAAAUCCAUGUUUCUUGCUUCCCAGAAGGCAGAGGUACAACAAAGCAGUCACGCCAUUCUCCUAGAAUCCCAGCCUUUGGAGACCCUGAAGAGGCAGCAUCACAGCCAACAAAACAACCCAGGAUGUGAAAUACUUUCAGCAGAAGGUUUAGAAAAAGAAAAGCCAGCUGCCAAUCACUGUGUGGCCCAAAAGAAAAAGCUGCUGAACAUCAGGAUGGAAAGUAACACCUGCGUCUAUACCAGGAUUUCUUAACCUGGGAUCUCUAAGCAUUCAACUAUAAUUCAGUAAAACUGGCUUCCUUUGUAA